rnacentral:rRNA from 1 species
UACGGAGGGGGCUAGCGUUGUUCGGAAUUACUGGGCGUAAAGCGUACGUAGGCGGCUUUGUAAGUUAGCGGUGAAAGCCCGGGGCUCAACUCCGGAAUUGCCUUUAAGACUGCAUCGCUUGAAUCAUGGAGAGGUGAGUGGAAUUCCGAGUGUAGAGGUGAAAUUCGUAGAUAUUCGGAAGAACACCAGUGGCGAAGGCGACUCACUGGACAUGUAUUGACGCUGAGGUACGAAAGCGUGGGGAGCAAACAGG